rnacentral:rRNA from 1 species
AGCGAACGCUGGCGGCAGGCCUAACACAUGCAAGUCGAACGAACUCUUCGGAGUUAGUGGCGGACGGGUGAGUAACACGUGGGAACGUGCCUUUAGGUUCGGAAUAACUCAGGGAAACUUGUGCUAAUACCGAAUGUGCCCUUCGGGGGAAAGAUUUAUCGCCUUUAGAGCGGCCCGCGUCUGAUUAGCUAGUUGGUGAGGUAAAGGCUCACCAAGGCGACGAUCAGUAGCUGGUCUGAGAGGAUGAUCAGCCACAUUGGGACUGAGACACGGCCCAAACUCCGACGGGAGGCAGCAGUGGGGAAUCUUGCGCAAUGGGCGAAAGCCUGACGCAGCCAUGCCGCGUGAAUGAUGAAGGUCUUAGGAUUGUAAAAUUCUUUCACCGGGGACGAUAAUGACGGUACCCGGAGAAGAAGCCCCGGCUAACUUCGU